CCUACGGGAGGCAGCAGUGAGGAAUAUUGGUCAAUGGACGAGAGUCUGAACCAGCCAAGUAGCGUGAAGGAUGACUGCCCUAUGGGUUGUAAACUUCUUUUGUCAAGGGACAAAAUCAGGCUCGAGAGCCUGACCGAGGGUACUUGAAGAAAAAGCAUCGGCUAACUCCGUGCCAGCAGCCGCGGUAAUACGGAGGAUGCGAGCGUUAUCCGGAUUUAUUGGGUUUAAAGGGUGCGUAGGCGGACUGUUAAGUCAGCGGUAAAAGCCCGGGGCUCAACCCCGGCGAGCCGUUGAGACUGGCUGUCUUGAGAUGUCGAGAGGUAUGCGGAAUGCGCAGUGUAGCGGUGAAAUGCUUAGAUAUUGCGCAGAACUCCGAUUGCGAAGGCAGCAUACCGGCGGCGAUCUGACGCUGAGGCACGAAAGCGUGGGUAUCGAACAGGAUUAGAUACCCGAGUAGUC
rnacentral:rRNA from 1 species